rnacentral:rRNA from 1 species
AAGCCAAUCCCACAAAUCUGUUCUCAGUUCGGAUCGCAGUCUGCAACUCGACUGCGUGAAGCUGGAAUCGCUAGUAAUCGCGGAUCAGCAUGCCGCGGUGAAUACGUUCCCGGGCCUUGUACACACCGCCCGUCACACCACGAGAGUUUGUAACACCCGAAGUCGGUGAGGUAACCUUUUAGGAGCCAGCCGCCGAAGGUGGGACAGAUGAUUGGGGUGAAGUCGUAACAAGGUAGCCGUAUCGGAAGGUGCGGUUGGAUCACCUCCUC